GGGGAAUUAGCUCAGUGGUAGAGCGCUUGCCUAGCAAGCGCAAGGUCCUGGGUUCGGUCCCCAGCUCCG
rnacentral:tRNA from 1 species